CAGUUAAAAUCGAUGAACUCAAUAAACUCGAGUUUGACAAAAUUAACAAAACCCAUUGACUGACUCUUCUCAGUCCUCUCCUCUUCAUCCCGUCUUACAAAAAUUCCCCUCUCCCCAAAUCUCACAUUCUCUGAUUCUCAAAUCUCGACUCAACCAUAGCAGAAGCAGGCUAACACCAGCAACGUCUCCACUCUCUUUCUUUCUCUCAAAAAAUCAUCCCCUUAGCAAUGGUUACUUACAGCAAGAGCAUGACCCAACAUCUUGCCCUUCUCUCUACCAUCUUAGCUCAUAGGAAUCCCAGUACAGAAAUCUGUGCUCGGCUACUGGAAAGAGUGAAAGAAAGGAAGGGUUUUUGGGUUUGCAAAUUAAAUCAUGCCAAAUCUGCUGCCCUCUUCCUCCAGUAAACCUCAUGAUCAUGGUCCACAGUCCACACACUGCAUUUGGUUUGAUUUUCAGUCCAAAAAUAGCUUAAAUGGUCGUUUUUGAUCUGGAAGAAAACUAAGAAGUGCUGCAUUCAUGCUGAAUUUGUUUAACCUAUAGAGGCUGUCAUGGGUUCUAGCGCCAUUGGUCAGGAAAAGGUUGAGUUAUCCAUCAUUGAGUUAGAAUUACUUUGAUUAUAACUUGCAUAUUUGGAAGAGAGGGAAGCUCACUUGAAAGCUCAGUGAAUUUUUUAAUACAUGAGGGUCGAAGAGCUGCGACCGCAAUUCAUGAUGCUACCGACGAUGCUGUGCAUGGUGUUUUCAAUACUUGGUUCUCAUUGUACCGUUCUUCACUUGACGAGGUUGAGGAGGCUCAACGUUUGGACAAUGCAGUAAAAGAGGAUGACCGUGUUUAUCAUGCACUAUGACAAUAUACUCGUGGUUCUGAUGAUGAAGGCCCAUCAACGAGUUAAUUUGUUAGAUGUUUAACUAUGUAAUUUAAUUAAUUUGAAAAUGACUUGAUAUUCUUUAUUGUAACAGAUUAUUUUGAUGUUGAGAUUAAUUUUUUUAAUUAUAAAUUUAUCCACUAUAAAAAUUAGGUGAUUC